rnacentral:rRNA from 1 species
GACGAACGCUGGCGGCGUGCCUAAUACAUGCAAGUCGAACGCAGUGGGGACGGGUGAGUAACACGUGGGUAACCUCCCAUCAGAGGGGAUAACACUUGGAAACAGGUGCUAAACCGAUACUGAUGGAUGGACCCGCGGUGCAUUAGCUAGUUGGGGAGGUAACGGCUCACCAAGGCCACGAUGCAUAGCCUACCCAGAUGGGGUGUCAGCCACACUGGGACAUAGACACGGCCCAAAAUCCUACGGGAAGAGAGAGUGGGGAAUUUUAGGCAAUGGACGAAAGUCUGAACGAGAAACGCCGGGUGAAUGAAGAAGGUUUUCGGAUCGUAAAACUCUGUUGUUAGAGAAGCGGUAUCUAACCAGAAAGCCACGGCUAACUACGUGCCAGCAGCCGCGGUAAUUC